rnacentral:rRNA from 1 species
UGACAGAGGUCCCAAGCGUUGUUCGGAUUCACUGGGCGUAAAGGGUGCGCAGGUGGCUUGGUAAGUUUGAUGAUGAAAGCUCAGGGCUCAACCCUGAAAUGGCAUUGAAUACUAUCGGGCUUGAGGUUUGGAGGGGGGACUGGGAAUUCCGGGUGUAGCGGUGGAAUGCGUAGAGAUCCGGAAGGAAGCACCGGUGGCGAAGGCGGCCUGCUGGGCAGUUUUGCUGACACUGAGGCGCGACGAGCGUGGGGAGCAAACAGG